rnacentral:lncRNA from 1 species
AGCAGCGACCAGGACCCGACACCCCUCGCCUCCUCUUGGUCCGCGCGUCCCGGGAACAAGGAUGCUGCGCCGGUCCCCUCACGCCGCUACCCUUAACCGGGUCUCCGCGCUCGGAGUCCGGGCCUCGCACAGGAUCUACGUCCAGAAGGGGAUAGAGGGAGGGGCCGAUCCAGUAAGCCUGGCCGCUGCCUGCGCGCCCCGAGGCGGAGCCGAGCCGAGCGGAGCCGAGCCGAGCGGGGCCGAGCCGGGAAGAUCCGAGCCAAACGGGGUGGAGGCGAGAGAAGCCGAGCGGAGCGGAGCCCGGUGGAGCCCUGCCAAGAUCCAUAGAUAGAGUCGGGGUGGAGGUCGGUUAUGGUUCAUGUAGCUCCUCCCUGCUAGACGGCAUCCUCCUCCGGGGGCUCUUGGGGAAGUCUCUUGUACUGGGACUCUC